rnacentral:rRNA from 1 species
UACGGAGGGUGCGAGCGUUGUCCGGAAUCACUGGGCGUAAAGGGCGCGUAGGUGGCCUGUGGAAGUCUGCGGUGAAAGCCCGGCGCUCAACGCCGGGUCGGCCGUGGAUACUCUCGGGCUCGAGCUUACUAGAGGCAGAUGGAAUUCCGGGUGUAGCGGUGGAAUGCGUAGAGAUCCGGAAGGAACACCGGUGGCGAAGGCAGUCUGCUGGGGUAAUGCUGACACUGAUGCGCGACAGCGUGGGAGCAACAGG